GGUAUGAGAGUCAUUUGUGGCAUAACCUCAGCAGACAUCAUAGGGCUGACUUUGAGUUUAAUUAUGAAAUUUCCAAAUGAGGAUGUCCAGGAACCAAAUAGAUAUGUGAGUUAGAAGCUCAGAAAGCAGGUCACCAUCACCUCUUACCUGAUCAUUGCAACACCUGCUUACUUGUCCGCCUAUCACAAGAUCUGACUCCUGACAAUUCACCAUGCAUAAUGAGAGGGAUAAAAACCUUAUAUAUGAAACUUUCACUAAUAACCUGAAACAUCACCACAGAGACAGUCGGGUUAUCCUGUUUGUUUAGACAUCCACUUAUUCACUUGCAAUGCAGGAAAUAUAUUUGGAAAAAAACAAAAAACAAAACAUGAUCAGUUACUUGAUGCAAUCAUGAGAUGUGCUCCAGAAAAACUUAUUAAGGAAUUAUUUCAUCAGAGUCAGUCUCUCUCAACAAGGUAAGCUACUUUUUCAAUGUUUCUGAUUAGAGUAGAUCCUUGAUGUUUAUUAUCAGUGUCACCAUCAUUAAUGAAAAUAGUAUGAGAACAUACAAAGAUGCAUAAGUGAGUAAUGGUGUACCAUUCUAACAUUUCUAAGAUGUGAAUUUGGAUCUUGCAUGACAAGAUCCAAA
rnacentral:lncRNA from 1 species